ACGAAGGAUCUGCAAUAUAAA
rnacentral:miRNA from 1 species